rnacentral:rRNA from 1 species
UACGGAGGGUGCAAGCGUUAUCCGGAUUUACUGGGUUUAAAGGGUGCGUAGGUGGGUGAGUAAGUCAGUGGUGAAAUCUCCGGGCUUAACCCGGAAACUGCCAUUGAUACUAUUUAUCUUGAAUACUUUGGAGGUAAGCGGAAUAUGUCAUGUAGCGGUGAAAUGCUUAGAUAUGACAUAGAACACCAAUUGCGAAGGCAGCUUACUACACAGCAAUUGACACUGAUGCACGAAAGCGUGGGGAUCAAACAGG